rnacentral:rRNA from 1 species
UACGUAGGGAGCGAGCGUUGUCCGAAGUUACUGGGCGUAAAGCGCGCGUAGGCGGGCUGUUAAGUGAGAGGUGAAAGGCUGGGGCUCAACCCCAUGCAGUGCCUCUCAUACUGGCGGUCUUGAAUUCGGCAGGGAGAAGUGGAAUGGCUGGUGUAGCGGUGAAAUGCGUAGAUAUCUGGAGGAACACCGGUGGCGAAGGCGGCGUCCUGGACCAACACUGACACUGAUGAGCGAAAGCCAGGGGAGCAAACGGG